rnacentral:rRNA from 1 species
GAUGAACGCUGGCGGCGUGCUUAACACAUGCAAGUCGAACGAAGCACUUUAAUUGAUUUCUUCGGAAUGAAGUUUUUGUGACUGAGUGGCGGACGGGUGAGUAACGCGUGGGUAACCUGCCUCAUACAGGGGGAUAACAGUUGGAAACGACUGCUAAUACCGCAUAAGCGCACAGGAUUGCAUGAUCCAGUGUGAAAAACUCCGGUGGUAUGAGAUGGACCCGCGUCUGAUUAGCCAGUUGGCGGGGUAACGGCCCACCAAAGCGACGAUCAGUAGCCGACCUGAGAGGGUGACCGGCCACAUUGGGACUGAGACACGGCCCAAACUCCUACGGGAGGCAGCAGUGGGGAAUAUUGCACAAUGGGGGAAACCCUGAUGCAGCGACGCCGCGUGAGCGAAGAAGUAUUUCGGUAUGUAAAGCUCUAUCAGCAGGGAAGAAGAAUGACG